GACGAACGCUGGCGGCGUGCUUAACACAUGCAAGUCGAACGGAAAGGCCCUGCUUGCCGGGUACUCGAGUGGCGAACGGGUGAGUAACACGUGGGUGAUCUGCCCUGCACUUCGGGAUAAGCCUGGGAAACUGGGUCUAAUACCGGAUAGGAGCCAUUUUUAGUGUGAUGGUUGGAAAGUUUUUUCGGUGUAGGAUGAGCUCGCGGCCUAUCAGCUUGUUGGUGGGGUAAUGGCCUACCAAGGCGGCGACGGGUAGCCGGCCUGAGAGGGUGGACGGCCACAUUGGGACUGGGAUACGGCCCAGACUCCUACGGGAGGCAGCAGUGGGGAAUAUUGCACAAUGGGCGCAAGCCUGAGGCAGCGACGCCGCGUGGGGGAUGACGGCCUUCGGGUUGUAAACUCCUUUCGCUAGGGACGAAGCUUUUUGUGACGGUACCUAGAUAAGAAGCACCGGCUAACUACG
rnacentral:rRNA from 1 species